rnacentral:rRNA from 1 species
CCUACGGGGGGCAGCAGUGAGGAAUAUUGGUCAAUGGUCGGGAGACUGAACCAGCCAAGCCGCGUGAGGGAGGAAGGUACAGAGUAUCGUAAACCUCUUUUGUCAGGGAACAAAGACUGGGACGCGUCCCCGGAUGAGUGUACCUGAAGAAAAAGCAUCGGCUAACUCCGUGCCAGCAGCCGCGGUAAUACGGAGGUUGCGAGCGUUAUCCGGAUUUAUUGGGUUUAAAGGGUGCGCAGGCGGUCUGUUACGUCAGAGGACAAAGCCCGGGGCUCAACCCCGGCCCGCCGUUGAAACUGGCAGUCGCGAGUGGGAGAGAAGUAUGCGGAAUGCGCGGUGUAGCGGUGAAAUGCAUAGAUAUCGCGCAGAACUCCGAGUGCGAAGGCAGCAUGCCGGCUCCACACUGACGCGGAGGCACGAAAGCGUGGGUAUCGAACAGGAUUAAAUACCCCGGUAGUC